rnacentral:rRNA from 1 species
AGAUUGAACGCUGGCGGCAGGCCUAACACAUGCAAGUCGAGCGGCAGCACGGGUACUUGUACCUGGUGGCGAGCGGCGGACGGGUGAGUAAUGCCUAGGAAUCUGCCUGGUAGUGGGGGAUAACGCUCGGAAACGGACGCUAAUACCGCAUACGUCCUACGGGAGAAAGCAGGGGACCUUCGGGCCUUGCGCUAUCAGAUGAGCCUAGGUCGGAUUAGCUAGUUGGUGAGGUAAU